rnacentral:lncRNA from 1 species
AUGGUGAGACUGAAGCCGAACCAUAUGUUAGCUCCAUUUUGGUGCUGCACGGAAGAGGUGAUCUCAGUUUGAGGUGAACCAGAUAGACUACGAGGCACUUGAAAGCUGCUACAGGGUCAAUAAUCAGUACUUCUGCUUGGAUUUGAACAGGUAAAGCUUCUCUCUCUCUUUUUUUUUUUUGGUUCCGUGGACUGAAAUUAGAUACCGGUUGCUCAUUGUAAGGUGGCUAGAAUCGGUGCUCCUGUCCG